rnacentral:rRNA from 1 species
AACGAACGCUGGCGGCAGGCUUAACACAUGCAAGUCGAACGCAUCCUUCGGGAUGAGUGGCAGACGGGUGAGUAACGCGUGGGAAUUUACCCAGCUCUACGGAACAACUCAGGGAAACUUGAGCUAAUACCGUAUACGCCCUUUGGGGGAAAGAUUUAUCGGAGUUGGAUGAGCCCGCGUUUGAUUAGCUAGUUGGUGGGUAAAGGCCUACCAAGGCGACGAUCAAUAGCUGGUCUGAGAGGAUGAUCAGCCACACUGGGACUGAGACACGGCCCAGACUCCUACGGGAGGCAGCAGUGGGGAAUAUUGGACAAUGGGCGCAAGCCUGAUCCAGCCAUGCCGCGUGAGUGACGAAGGCCUUAGGGUUGUAAAGCUCUUUUGGCGGGGACGAUAAUGACGGUACCCGCAGAAUAAGCCCCGGCUAACUUCGUG